ensembl:lncRNA
CCGCGCCUGCGCACCUGCGGCCGCGCCCUCGUUAUCUCGGCCGUGCGGCCACCCGCGCCUCCAGGCCGUGCGCGACCGACCGGAACGCGGCGAGCUCCGAGCUCCCGACGGCCAGGCCCGAGCUGCGCCGGACUGGGCCGGGGUGGGCUCGCAGGGACGAGGUUCGGGGACGGGACCCAGUUCCGUGGCGGGCUGCUUUCCUUCCUCAGAGGCCGCGAGGUCAUGGCGGCGGCUCGAGUUCCCUGCUUCCAGUGUGGGUUGGUCAGUUCCUCCACAGCGCUUUUAAACGCCGUGAGACGGUCCCACUCUGCCAGCUGCUCUGUGGCAAGCUGCCCAGCGUUUCACCCGUGUGUUCCCUGCCGCCCGCGCUCGGCGCGGCCUCGACUCAGCCUCCCCGAGGAGGUCCCCUCGACCGUCGUGGCCCUGGCGUUUGCCAUGCGAGGACAUCGCGUUGCGCUCCUGAGCCGAAACCUGUGCGCGCUCGGCGGCUGAGGCCUUUGGUGCCGCAGGAGGCAGAAACCGGAGCUCCCGUGCCCGGCCCCGCAGGGACCGGAAAGGCGAGCAGCCUGCGCUGCCCUCUCCGCCCGCUCGGAACCAGGGUCCCUAGGGUUCGGUCGCUCAGGUUCUGCCCUGAACCAGGCACAGGUCCAUCGGAUCAUUUCCACUUACGAAGUAAACGAUUUGGUUUUUUUAAAACUUCAUUUUAAACAUUAGGUAUUUUAAAUCAUCACAAAAUGAAGUUGGAAGACUAAGUUACUGGAGUCAACUUAGAUAACUUGAUACAUUACAUAUUAUCAAUGACAUUUUAAAAACAAAACUGAUUUUUGACUUCGGAAAACCAAGUAAUAAUUGUCAUUUCUAGUUAGAGACUGAAGCAAAUUGUGAAAAAUCAUGUAAAUACCUAGGCUACUUUCUCAAACUACUGUUGUUUUUCUCUUUUUUAAAGACUGCUAAAAAUCGUGAGAUUUGGAAGUAGAAGAUGUUCAGGUUAUGUUUUCAGAAAGAUGCUUGUCAAUCACAGUCAACAAGCUGUGGGUUUCCUGAAUGGAAGUAAAAGCCGCGCAGAGUUAAAAGUCGUCCCAUGUCUUGGGACUGUGCUUCUGGUGGCAGUGCCUCCCCUCUGUGGAUGAAACAUGCCGCGUUGGAUGCAUUCCCGUGAAGCAGGCAUUGUCUCUGCUCCCCGGAGGAUCCUAGCUCUCUGAAAGAGCUCUUUCAGGAAACACCUAGGUUCAACUUCAUGCAGCAGGAGCUCCAGUUGGAUUCACUUGGUACUUCAGUAUGCUGGAAACGAGAAAGCUUCAUUUAUAAUGUAAAGGUACCUAAGAGCCAUCUGACACUUCUAUUCAUGUCAGUAAGAAUGGUUUCUGUCCACACGGGCGUAGAGUCUGCCCCGGACAGGAUACACUGAUGAUGUCCAUUUCAACAUUAGCAUACGUGGACAUUUGCAGCACUUCCUGUUUUCUUAAUUUUUAACUUUCAAUUUUAAACUUUUAUUAACAAAAGGGGAACUGUACUGGAACGGAUGGAGCCAAAUGUACCACUGUGUGCAGCUUUGGUAAAGGAAUUUAAAGGAGGUAAAAUAUGUGCGCUUCAUUGUCUCGGUGGCAGAAAGAAGUGAGUCAGGACCUGGUACAAGGAUGUUGCAAGCCCUUCAUUUACUGACUUCUUGCCUCUGUCAGCUGCGGCUCAAAGCACUUCCUGUGUUGACUGAUUUGGCCUGGUGACAGUGGUGUGGGGCAGGUGCUGUGCAGCUGAGAAAAUAGGAGGUUAAGCACUUCCCCAAACUCACCAAGACAGCCUGUUCUCCACACCCCACACCAUCUAGCACCAGACUUCCCAGGGCAGGCAUGAAACAUGUGGGGACCUGCUCAGUGCACCCCAGACCUGCAGAGCCUGAACCUCUGAGCCAGCCCAGCCUGAGUUUUACUAAAGCCACUCAGACUAGAGUUUGAGAAUCCCUGGCAAAAAGGAAGGUGGUGGCAAUGUUAACGAUCUCUUUUCAUGGAUUUUCAUUCUAGAACAAAUGCUGGGAAGUUGCUCUAACAUACAGUAUGUGUGUUCCCAAAGGUGAAGGCUCCAGAUGUGGCGGCCAAGCUGAAGAGACCAUCAGAGAGGUGGGCCAGGGCCUCAGGGAGGGAGUGGGUGCUGCUGCAAACCAGUGGGCACCCAGGUCAACCUCACUGGCUCCCUCAGGGUUUUCUUCAGUUUUGGAAAACUACCUUUUACUGGCUGUAGAACCAUGUGUAUUCUUAAGACAUCAAAAGAAAUUCAUUUGCUUUUUAUUUUGAAAUAAUAGUAAAGAAUUUUGAAUAAAGGUUAAGAAAGUUGAAACUGAAUGAGGCCGCACCCUCGGAAUACAGUGGGUACAAAGCUGUGCUCCCGCUGAGGUCUUCCUGACACCAUGGAUUCUCGGGAGGUCCCUGCCUUGGCAGAGAAUUGAAUGUGCAAGAGCCUGAGCUUCCUUACAUAUUCCUUCCCACCAGGCUGAAGGAGAAGCAGGAUGAACAGCAGAAUUACCAGGUUCUGACUCUGACGGUGGCCAGUCUGUGUCUCUUCUUCAUGGUGCUUGCCACACAACCCUCCUGACUGGCAGCAUGAGACCCACGUGGAACACAGCAGAGUGCGGAGUUACGCUGUUCACAGCACGGGUACCAUGCAGACCCUGUGUGCAAGGCUAGUUCCCAGCCAGGCGCUGCUGGGAGGUGGUGGCACCUUUGAGGGUGAGGCCGAGCAGGACAUUAGGUCAUGAAGGACACAUCCUUGAAGGGAGCUCUCAGACCACAGUCUCCUCAUCCUCUUUUUCACAUCCGGCCCUGAGGUGAGAGGCUUUGGUGGACCACACACUCCCACUUCGGUGCGCUGCCUCAGCCUAGGAAACUGCAGGGCAGACAACCACACCUGAAUCUCCAACAUGAAAGAAGAUAACAAAACACGCUCCCCGGAACCCAUGGAACCCACAAAGAGGAGGGCCUAGAACUUGCAGAACAAGGGACAGAACGGGCGUCAGGGCCACCUGUGUCCUCCGAUCCUGGU